rnacentral:rRNA from 1 species
UAUAUUAAAUAUUUUAAGAUAUUGAUAUAAUAUUAACAUAAUUCAUAUCAUUAUAUUUAUAAUGUAUGAAAUUUUACUUUGAGAAAAUUAGAGUGCUUAAAGCAGGUAUAUUGCCUUGAAUACUUCAGCAUGGAAUAAUAAUAAGAGAUUUUUAUCUUUCUUUUUUAUUGGUUCUAAGAUAGAAAUAAUGAUUAAUAGGGACAGUUGGGGGCAUUUGUAUUUAACAGUUAGAGGUGAAAUUCUUAGAUUUGUUAAAGACAAACUAAUGCGAAAGCAUUUGCCAAGGAUGUUUUCAUUAAUCAAGAACGAAAGUUAGGGGAUCGAAGACGAUCAGAUACCGUCGUAGUCUUAACCAUAAACUAUGCCAACUAGAGAUUGGAGGUUGUUCCUU